UCAAAUUUUUCAUUCUAAUCUUCAUCAUCUUCAAUCUCCUCUGCCUUUAUAGUUUAAAAUUUUCUUUGUUGAAGGAGAAGAACAUGAACAGUUUAUGCGUUUAUAUUUUUCAAGUUUUCUUCAUCAUCUUCAAUUCUGGAUUUGUGAAUUUGGGGCAGAUCUACAAGCUCAUGCGAAUAUAUGUGAUACUGAUAACAAGUUUUCUGCAGUUUAUGAGUUUAUAUUUUCUUUGGCACAAUUGUGGGUUU
rnacentral:lncRNA from 1 species